UACGUAGGGUGCAAGCGUUGUCCGGAAUUAUUGGGCGUAAAGAGCUCGUAGGCGGCUUGUCACGUCGACUGUGAAAACCCGGGGCUCAACUCCGGGCCUGCAGUCGAUACGGGCUGGCUUGAGUGCGGUAGGGGAGACUGGAAUUCCUGGUGUAGCGGUGAAAUGCGUAGAUAUCAGGAGGAACACCGGUGGCGAAGGCGCACAUCUGGCCCGAUACUGACGCUGAGGCGCGAAAGCUAGGGGAGCAAACGGG
rnacentral:rRNA from 1 species